GCAUUGGUGGUAUAGUGGUGAGCAUAGCUGCCUUCCAAGCAGUUGACCCAGGGUUCGAUUCCCAGCCAAUGCA